CUCUCCAAGUCUUCUCCCUACACGCUCUCUCCAUUUUGUUCUCCCAUUUUAUAGAGACCAAAGUCCAUCAGGCAAGACCAUUUUCGUCCUUGUCUAACCUACACAACCUUCACUACCCCGUCGUCUUUUAUCUUCAACGAACUUGGACUUUGUUUUCAUCUCAAGGUGAUUGCCAUACUCAUGGCUAAUAUGUCUUCUUUGUCUUUAGUCGUAGCACUGGCAAUUUUCGCCUUUGUUUUUUCUCAUGCAUUUUCUACAUCACGGCGAGUUUUAGAGCAUCCAAAGGUGCAAAAUGGCUUCCGAGCGAAGCUCAAACAUGUUGAUUCGGGUAAGAACUUAACGAAAUUUGAGCGUAUUCAACACGGGGUUAAGCGUGGAAGACACAGGUUGCAAAGAUUCAAAGCAAUGGCACUGGUAGCAUCUUCUAAUUCUGAGAUUGAUGCCCCAGUUCUUCCCGGGAAUGGUGAGUUCUUGAUGAAGCUAGCUAUUGGCACGCCACCGGAGACUUAUUCUGCAAUAAUGGACACAGGUAGCGAUUUGAUAUGGACUCAGUGCAAGCCUUGCACACAGUGUUUUGAUCAACCCACUCCUAUUUUCGAUCCAAAAAAGUCCUCUUCUUUCUCUAAGUUAUCAUGUUCUAGCAAAUUAUGUGAAGCAUUACCCCAGUCCACUUGCAGCGAUGGCUGCGAAUAUCUGUAUGGUUAUGGCGAUUAUUCUUCAACACAAGGAAUGCUGGCAAGCGAAACUCUCACGUUUGGCAAGGUUUCAGUUCCUGAAGUUGCAUUCGGUUGCGGAGAAGAUAACGAGGGAAGUGGAUUCAGCCAGGGUUCUGGCCUAGUGGGGCUUGGCCGUGGACCCUUGUCAUUGGUUUCUCAACUCAAGGAGCCCAAGUUCUCAUAUUGCUUAACCUCUGUUGAUGACACAAAAGCCAGCACACUAUUGAUGGGAUCUCUAGCAAGUGUGAAAGCAUCAGACAGUGAAAUCAAGACCACCCCUUUAAUCCAGAACUCAGCACAGCCAUCAUUUUACUAUCUUUCCCUUGAAGGAAUAUCAGUGGGUGACACUAGCUUACCUAUCAAGAAAUCUACCUUUUCACUCCAAGAAGAUGGAAGUGGUGGCCUUAUUAUUGACUCUGGCACUACAAUAACCUAUUUAGAACAAAGUGCUUUUGAUUUGGUAGCCAAAGAGUUCACCUCUCAGAUUAAUCUCCCGGUGGACAAUUCCGGCUCGACGGGGCUCGAAGUUUGCUUCACAUUGCCAUCAGGCUCAACCGAUAUAGAGGUGCCUAAGUUGGUAUUCCACUUUGAUGGAGCAGACUUGGAAUUGCCAGCCGAAAACUAUAUGAUUGCCGAUGCAAGCAUGGGAGUAGCUUGCUUGGCCAUGGGGAGCUCAAGUGGCAUGUCUAUUUUCGGCAAUAUUCAGCAACAGAAC
rnacentral:lncRNA from 1 species